rnacentral:rRNA from 1 species
ACUCCUACGGGAGGCAGCAGUGGGGAAUAUUGGACAAUGGGGGCAACCCUGAUCCAGCCAUGCCGCGUGAGUGAAGAAGGCCCUAGGGUCGUAAAGCUCUUUCAACUGUGAAGAUAAUGACGGUAGCAGUAGAAGAAACCCGCUACUCCGUGCCAGCAGCCGCGGUAAUACGGAGGGGGUUAGCGUUGUUCGGAAUUACUGGGCGUAAAGCGCACGUAGGCGGACUAUU